GCAGACACUUACGAUUUUAAUUUCCUUCCAAUAACGAUAGAUUGGCUGUUAUGUUGCUAUGUGCAAGUCACCUGCCUGUGACAAGACGGUUGGAUCUAGAAUUAUUCCCCGAUUCAUCAGCAACUCCCCUUUAAGAGGCGCGCACUUAGGAGCUUUCAUGCCAUCGGUUCUACGUGAUGGAUAAGCCAAUCAGAAGGUCGUUAGCUAUAUAAGCAGAGAGACCGUAGUGUGUUUCGCGUCCAGAUUCCUAGAACAACAAUCAAAGAACGUUUGAACGAAAGUCGCUAAGAGCUAGAAUGAAGUCUUUGAUUGUUCUUGCUGCCUUUACUGUAAUCUGCAGUGCCAAAUACAUAGUUGACGUAAAAGGAAAGCUACCUUGUCAACCUUGCGACCAAGAUGAGAUUCCGUUGAUACAGUUUAAGCUUUUGAAUCCAGUGUGUGGACCGUGUGGGGAAAUGUAUGGACCUUCUUUUGAAUAUUGCUGCAUGUGUGACCGUAAGAUCAGACGAGCAUGCGCAGAUGCCAUUCGGAAGUGAAGAAUGAAGAUACAUGUUCAUAAAAUUGAAAGCGAAGGAAUAUGUUUUAUCGAAAAUGUAUUUGAUCUCAUGUUACAGUGGCCAAUAAAGUUAUUUUUUAUUUAAUUGGA